rnacentral:piRNA from 1 species
UGCCUUAGGAUUCCCCAGUCUUGCAC